rnacentral:lncRNA from 1 species
AUAUGUACUUUAUAGUUACUGUAGUCAUCUUAUUUCACUAAUAUUUUCUUGUCUGUCCAACACAAAAAUUCACCUUACCUACUCUACAGAGACUUUUAUUACUUUUCAGAACCCAAGAUAAAAAACUACAUCAUGCAAUUCAUCCUACCAACAACUGGCAAUCUGUAAAAAAAAAUUAUAGAUUGCUCCAUUGAACCAAAGUGAAAUGACUGCUUUGCUUUGUGGAGUAAUGAGAAGCACAGCCAAAAUCAGUGCUACAAUACAAAUAUUUACUCUUUGGAAGAAAACAAAAUAACCUGCAUGCUUACACACACUGAAAAUUAAUGACAUUGUAAAGUGGCAACCAAUAGCUGGUAAAAUAUGGGUGUGAUGAAAUUGGUGUGAGAUGUAGAAAAGGAGUCUAGAAGCUUUUAAAAGCUGUUGAAGCAGUCAGUUCCACAGUAUAUUUCCAGCCCCAAGCAGUGAAAUCACAGGUCACAGUGUGUUACCAUGUACUCACUCGCCAAACUCAUCACUGCUGAGAGAACACAGUGCUUAGGAAAUCAAGA